rnacentral:rRNA from 1 species
CCCUUAGAUGUCCUGGGCCGCACGCGUGCUACACUGAUGCAUACAGCGAGUACUCCCAGCUCCGAGAGGCUGCUGGUAAUCAGCAAUAUGCAUCGUGAUGGGGAUAGAUCUUUGGAAUUAUAGAUCUUGAACGAGGAAUUCCUAGUAAUCGCAGGUCAUCACCCUGCGUUGACUAAGUCCCUGCCCUUUGUACACACCGCCCGUCGCCCCUACCGAUUUCGAGUGAUCCGGUGAAUCAUUCGGACCGCGGCCCCUAGGCAUGCGGAAAGUCUAGUAAACCAUAUCACUUAGAGGAAGGAGAAGUCGUAACA